GACGAACGCUGGCGGCGUGCUUAACACAUGCAAGUCGAACGGAAAGGCCCUGCUUUUGUGGGGUGCUCGAGUGGCGAACGGGUGAGUAACACGUGAGUAACCUGCCCUUGACUUUGGGAUAACUUCAGGAAACUGGGGCUAAUACCGGAUAGGAGCUCCUGCUGCAUGGUGGGGGUUGGAAAGUUUCGGCGGUUGGGGAUGGACUCGCGGCUUAUCAGCUUGUUGGUGGGGUAGUGGCUUACCAAGUCUUUGACGGGUAGCCGGCCUGGGAGGGUGACCGGCCACAUUGGGACUGAGAUCAGGCCCAGACUCCUACGGGAGGCAGCAGUGGGGAAUAUUGCACAAUGGGCGGAAGCCUGAUGCAGCAACGCCGCGUGCGGGAUGACGGCCUUCGGGUUGUAAACCGCUUUCGCCUGUGACGAAGCGUGAGUGACGGUAAUGGGUAAAGAAGCACCGGCUAACUACGUG
rnacentral:rRNA from 1 species